rnacentral:tRNA from 1 species
UGGAGAGAUGGCUGAGUGGUUGAAAGCCCCGGUCUUGAAAACCGGUAUAGUUUACUAUCGAGGGUUCGAAUCCCUCUCUCUCCUU